CUAACACCUGGAUAUGUUUAUUUUUGAACCAUUCCAUUGUAGAUUUUGCUUUAUGUUUUGGAUCAUUGUCUUGUUGGAAGACAAAUCUCCGUCCCAGUCUCAGGUCUUUUGCAGACUCCAUCAGGUUUUCUUCCAGAAUGGUCCUGUAUUUGGCUCCAUCCAUCUUCCCAUCAAUUUUAACCAUCUUCCCUGUCCCUGCUGAAGAAAAGCAGGCCCAAACCAUGAUGCUGCCACCACCAUGUUUGACAGUGGGGAUGGUGUGUUCAGGUGAUGAGCUGUGUUGCUUUUACGCCAAACAUAACGUUUUGCAUUGUUGCCAAAAAGUUCAAUUUUGGUUUCAUCUGACCAGGCCACCUUCUUCCACAUGUUUGGUGUGUCUCCCAGGUGGCUUGUGGCAAACUUUAAACACACUUUUUAUGGAUAUCUUUAAGAAAUGGCUUUCUUCUUGCCACUCUUCCAUAAAGGCCAGAUUUGUGCAAUGUACGACUGAUUGUUGUCCUAUGGACAGAGUCUCCCACCUCAGCUGUAGAUCUCUGCAGUUCAUCCAGAGUGAUCAUGGGCCUCUUGGCUGCAUCUCUGAUCAGUCUUCUCCUUGUAUGAGCUGAAAGUUUAGAGGGACGGCCAGGUCUUGAUAGAUUUGCAGUGGUCUGAUACUCCUUCCAUUUCAAUAUUAUCGCUUGCACAGUGCUCCUUGGGAUGUUUAAAGCUUGGGAAAGCUUUUGGUAUCCAAAUCUGGCUUUAAACUUCUUCACAACAGUAUCUCGGACCUGCCUGGUGUGUUCCUUGUUCUUCAUGAUGCUCUCUGCGCUUUUAACGGACCUCUGAGACUAUCACAGUGCAGGUGCAUUUAUACGGAGACUUGAUUACACACAGGUGGAUUGUAUUUAUCAUCAUUAGUCAUUUAGGUCAACAUUGGAUCAUUCAGAGAUCCUCACUGAACUUCUGGAGAGAGUUUGCUGCACUGAAAGUAAAGGGGCUGAAUAAUUUUGCACGCCCAAUUUUUCAGUUUUUGAUUUCUUAUUUAUUUCAAUUAUUUCAAGGCUAUAGGGUACAAAGAAAUACAUUGUGAAGCAUUUGCGAGUGCAACACACAAGGCUGGGAGGGAGUCAGGGACAUUACCAAGUGCUCAGCAUUUAAAAAACAUUUUGUUUUAUUAAAUCAUUAUAGUCUAUAAAUUGGGCAUAACUGAUUUUACAGCAUCGACAAGAACCAAAUGAAAACAAUAUGCAUGCCAGUGCACAUAAAAUGCAAAUCUUGCACUGUUUUUAAUCCAUGCAGACACACCAGAUUGCUUUCCGCUCAUGACAGAUGCACCAUCAUAGCUUUGCCUGCCCCACAAGAUUAUUUCUGUAGUCCAGACCAUGUUUUUCAAGGCAAUCAAUGAUAAUUUUUGUGAGACCUUCUGCAUAUAAGCUUUCAGCUGACUGAAAGUGUAACAAGCUUUCGUGGAUGGCCCCAUUGUAACCUCACAACUGAAGACAUUUGUUAUCUUUUCUUUAAAUAUUUUGUUUAAUCUGCAAUUACACUAAAAACUUCACUUUCUUUUACUUCUCUUAUUAUUUGACUUUGUACCUGUCACACCCUGACCUUAGAGAGCCAUUUUAUUUCUCUAUUUGGUUAGGUCAGGGUGUGAUUUUGGGUGGGCAUUCUAUGUUAUCUAUUUCUUUGUUUUUGGCCGAGUAUGGUUCCCAAUCAGAGGCAGCUGUCUAUCGUUGUCUCUGAUUGGGAAUCAUACUUAGGCAGCCCUUUUCCCACCUGUGUUCGUGGGUAGUUAUUUUCUGUUUAGUCUCUGUUACAUGACAGAACUGUUCACUUUCGUUUUGUUACUUUGUUCGAGUGUUUUUUGAUUAAAAAAAAAAUCAUGAACACUUUUCACACUGCGCUUUGGUCCACUCCUUCCGACGACAGGAGUUACAGAACCAUCUCAGCUAAGCCCUCA
ensembl:lncRNA